rnacentral:rRNA from 1 species
GAUGAACGCUGGCGGCGUGCCUAAUACAUGCAAGUAGAACGCUGAAGCUUGGUGCUUGCACCAAGCGGAUGAGUUGCGAACGGGUGAGUAACGCGUAGGUAACCUGCCUCUUAGCGGGGGAUAACUAUUGGAAACGAUAGCUAAUACCGCAUAAAAGUCGAUAUCGCAUGAUAUUGAUUUGAAAGGUGCAAAUGCAUCACUAAGAGAUGGACCUGCGUUGUAUUGGCUAGUUGGUGAGGUAACGGCUCACCAAGGCGACGAUACAUAGCCGACCUGAGAGGGUGAUCGGCCACACUGGGACUGAGGCACGGCCCAGACUCCUACGGGAGGCAGCAGUAGGGAAUCUUCGGCAAUGGGGGCAACCCUGACCGAGCAACGCCGCGUGAGUGAAGAAGGUUUUCGGAUCGUAAAGCUCUGUUGUAAGAGAAGAACGAGUGUGAGAGUGGAAAGUUCACACUGUGACGGUAACUUACCAGAAAGGGACGGCUAACUACGUGCCAGCAGCCGCGGUAAUACGUAGGUCCCGAGCGUUAUCCGGAUUUAUUGGGCGUAAAGCGAGCGCAGGCGGUUAGAUAAGUCUGAAGUUAAAGGCUGUGGCUUAACCAUAGUACGCUUUGGAAACUGUUUAACUUGAGUGCAGAAGGGGAGAGUGGAAUUCCAUGUGUAGCGGUGAAAUGCGUAGAUAUAUGGAGGAACACCGGUGGCGAAAGCGGCUCUCUGGUCUGUAACUGACGCUGAGGCUCGAAAGCGUGGGGAGCAAACAGG